UACAGGGGGUGCAAACGUUGCUCGGAAUCAUUGGGCGUAAAGCGCACGUAGGCGGUUCGUUAUGUCGGAUGUGAAAGCCCUUGGCUUAACCGAGGAAGUGCAUCCGAAACUGGCGAGCUAGAGUACGAAAGAGGAUCGCGGAAUUCCCGGUGUAGAGGUGAAAUUCGUAGAGAUCUGGAGGAACACCGAUGGCGAAGGCAGCCCCCUGGGUCAAAACUGACGCUCAGGCGCGAUAGCGUGGGGAUCAAACAGG
rnacentral:rRNA from 1 species